rnacentral:snRNA from 1 species
AAACUUACCUGAGUAUUGGGUUUGGAAUCUUCAAUAACGAUUCCACCCCGGAACGAGGCUUCACCAUUGCACUUAGGUUGAAGUUGACCUCCGAGGCAAUUUCUAACGAAGUUAGCCUAUACUUCAAUUUUUGCGUUUGGAAGUCUGCGUUCGCGCGACUUCCU